rnacentral:misc_RNA from 1 species
GACGAACCACCCAAACGUUAUUCGGAAUUACUGGGCUUAAAGGGUGCGUAGGCGGCGCGGAAAGUCAGAUGUGAAAUCCCUCGGCUCAACCGAGGAACUGCGUUUGAAACUACCGUGCUCGAAUGAGACAGAGGUAAGCGGAACUUCGGGUGGAGCGGUGAAGUGCGUUGAUAUCCGAAGGAACACCGGUGGCGAAAGCGGCUUACUGGGUCUUUACUGACGCUGAUGCACGAAAGCGUGGGGAGCAAACAGG